UUGUGCAUACUCUUGAGUAUUUCCUUAAUAUUGAAGCCCUGAAAGUAGAAGUUCUAGGAUUGAAAGAUUUUGAUUUUGUGUUUGAUGUAUGUGGCUGUACCACCAAUGUGGGCUCUAGUGUCCUCACAUGUUUCCUCACAUUCUCCCUCGUGCUGGAUGUUAAAAUUUUUAAAAUAUCUUGCCAGAUUGAUAAGUGAAAUGUGGUAUCUCAUUUUUUAUGUUUUAGAUUAUUAGUAAGGUUAAAUAUUUUUUCCUCUCAUAUUUGGUCUUUUUAAUCUCUUCUGAAUUGCCUAUUUGUGUCUUUUGCUUAUUUUUUCCAAUAGUAUUAGCAUUUCCUUAUUGACUGUAAAAUAAUUAGUUAAGAAUGUUAGCCUUUUGCCCUCUAGUUUGCAAAUAUUUCUUUUCAGUUUUGCCCCUUGCCUUAAUGUAGGCAUAUUUCAGAUUUUUAUGUUGUCAAAUCCAUCAAAAUUUUUUAUUUAACUUUUAAUAUAUCAAAAUUAUAUUUAAUGUUCCCUUUGGUAUCCAUAUCUAGAAAAAGUUGUAUGGUCACCUACAUUUCCCCCAAUAUAUUUUUGGUUUUAUUUUUACAUUUAAAUCCCCACAGUUUUCAUUGCAAUGCAGUUUUGACUAAUAUCCGAGUCAAAGAAGAUAAGUUAUGGGAAGGGAGAUUUUGAUUCAAUAUGUGCAUGAAAUUUCUAAUGAUUUAGAGAUGAGAUUGACAACCGAGGAAAUAAGCUAAUCUCAUUGCUUGACCUUCUAUCAGGGUUUAAGAAUUGCUUGGCCUUCCGUAAGUGCUCAAUUAACAUUUGCUCAAAGAAUGAUGGAGUAAGAGACCUCCACGCUUCUUUUCAAUGCUGUUUUCCUGACUUGGCUCGGGUUUUCAGUUCAUUCCAUCUCCAGAGAUCAUUCUAGAAAUGGAGAUGGUGGCUCUCAGGGGUGAAGCAGGCAAGAGGACAGGAUGGUAGGGAGGGAACUGAUGCCAGGGGAGCUACUUCUCAAAUCUCACCUCCCACAUGGUCUGUGAGGGUUUGCAAGGCUCCUUGCUGUUUGCUGGGCUCUGGGCUGGGAGAGAAAUAAGUAGGCGGGCCAGUUGUUAGCCAAAAGGACUUAAAGCCGGAUGGGAGGUUAGACAGGUGCCUCUGAAGAUGGAAGGCUCAGAAUGUGUGGCGCUGAGGAAGCGGCUGUGGAAAUGCAGGGCUGGUGGUGGUCGUGGUGCUGUUGUGGGUCCUUAAUCAGGCACGGUGACUUUUAGGAGCUGAGUCCCGGAGGUUUACUCCGAGUGGUUCUCUCCUGAAAGGCUCUUCCAUGAGGUUGUCCAUUCGGGUGCACUAAAGAAAGGCCACAAUAGCUAAGAGUUUCUUCUGUACUUUUCAAAUAACUCAGUGACUCAGGAAAGAAGAAAAUGCCCACAUGCAUUAAACUCAUAAACAAAGAGACAAAACUCAGGCAAAAUUCUCUGGUCCAGAUGUGCCUGAAGUCUAGGAUGAACAUAGUAUACGAAACAUGCUUACCUAUCAGGGACUAAUGUGGUGGAUUCCCUCAUGGACUCCGGAGUCACCUAUUUUGAGGAUGGAGCUUUCUGCAGCAGGUACACGUGAAAUCUGCAAGCGGUGGCUGGAUCCAAAGAUGGCAGCUCGAUCACUUGCUGGCUGACUUCUCCUGGCUGCUGGUGAAGUCACGUGGGCAAUUGACGCACUGUGUCACUUUCCAUCUGCUCCCACUCUCCCCCUUCCCGGGUAUUUUUGGAAGAGUGGUUUAGUACAUCAACCUUUAAAGAAAAGUAAUUAUUAAAUCUUUCUGUCAUCAGGAUGUCAUGGGGUUGUGUGUCACGCAUAGCUCUUGGCAGCAUCUAAAUUGGGAUUUUCAAAACAAGAUGAAGUUUCUCCUUGGCCCUUUUGUUUGCCUCUUGAAAAAGUUCAGCUUCUGCAGCAGCUGAUUUGGUUACUCGUUAAGAGUUUUCUCUGACUUAACCAAUAACGAAACGAUUUUUCCCAUUUGAAUAGCUCUGCCGAGGUCCACUCAGCCACCCAGAGCCGAGUGGUGGCUACAAUGUAAGCUUUGUUCCUUACAAAAAAAUCAUUUCGGGUUUAUGAAUGUUUCACCUCUGGAACCCGAAAUGUGGGGCUUCAGCCAUUGAGCCUGCUGGCUGGUUGGGCUGCUGGCUGAAUGAGCUGGAGCUUAAGAUGGCUCCUAUGGAGGAGCAACAGCUAUGAUGAGUUGAAUAAGCGCCCAUCCCAUGGAAGCAGCUGGAGAAGCACGUCAGGUGCAUUAUUUCAGCGGAGCCUCCUAAAAUGACAGCCAGGUUUUAUUGAGCACUGACUAUGUACCACAUGGGCUCCGUGACUUUUACAGCAUUCUCAUUGGAUCCUCAACUCACCUG